rnacentral:lncRNA from 1 species
ACCAUUUCUUGUUGAAACACAAGGAGGGAACACUCGACAUAGAAGACAUAAGGAAGAGGAGCGUCCGCGAACGGAAGAUAGAAGACAUAAGGAAGGAGAAGAAGUCGAAAGAAAUCGACCAUUCAGGUCCACCAGAAGAUUAAGAGAGUAAUUAUAUUACACAAAAACAAUAUGUCUUUAAUAGCCAUUGUUAUUCCUCUUAUAUAUAAUCAUAGAGGCCUGAUUAGGCGGAUCCGUUGCUACAUCAGACGACCCAACUUCAGGGGUAAUCGCCCUUGAUUGCUCUUCUAUGAUUUCCUCCAUUGGUUCAUAUAUAGUAUUUUCUCAUAUCUGAUAUGUUGAAGAUAUUGGACAUAUUUAAUUCCUCGGGCAAAUCGAUCACGUAUGCAUUAUUAUUGAUCCUUCUGAUAAGAAUUGAAGAAUUACGAUGAUUCAGCUGUAGAGGAUGCUCGUUGUCGUAUGCUAGAAAUAGCUACUGAUUGAGGAAGACGUGGACGUAGAGAUGAUCGCUGAAGAAGAUGCUGAUCGGGAGUCCCAAACAGGUGAUGCUAAUAACGACUAUAUUGGAAAGGGGGCGGAUAUCCGAAAUAGCAGGCUGACAUUCGUUGGACAUAU